rnacentral:rRNA from 1 species
CCUACGGGAGGCAGCAGUGAGGAAUAUUGGUCAAUGGGCGUAAGCCUGAACCAGCCAAGUCGCGUGAGGGAUGAAGGUUCUAUGGAUCGUAAACCUCUUUUAUAAGGGAAUAAAGUGUGGGACGUGUCCUCUUUUGUAUGUACCUUAUGAAUAAGGAUCGGCUAACUCCGUGCCAGCAGCCGCGGUAAUACGGAGGAUCCGAGCGUUAUCCGGAUUUAUUGGGUUUAAGGGGUGCGUAGGCGGCCUUUUAAGUCAGGUGUGAAAGUCUGUGGCUCAACCAUAGAAUUGCCGUUGAAACUGGGAGGCUUGAGUAUGUUUGAGGCAGGCGGAAUGCGUGGUGUAGCGGUGAAAUGCUUAGAUAUCACGCAGAACCCCGAUUGCGAAGGCAGCCUGCCAAGCCAUGACUGACGCUGAUGCACGAAAGCGUGGGGAUCAAACAGGAUUAGAUACCCUAGUAGUC